UUUUGAAUGUAAUUUAUUUUCCUAGUACUAUUAGUUAUGGUCUUUUAAAUUAAAAGAUUUUGGCGGUAAUUUAAUCUUUUCAGAGGAACCUGUUCUGUAAUUGAUAAUCCACGUUGGGUUUUACUUUGGUUUGUGGUUUGUAUAUCUCUGUCGUUGAAUAGCUUAUUAGGGCUAUAUUCAUGAAUUAUUUAUUUAUAAUAUGUCAGGUCAAGGUGCAGCUAUACUAAAGGUUGAGAUGGGUUACAUUUAGUUUUAUUACUUAUAGGAUUUAUAUAUUAAAUAUAUAUAUUGAAAUAGGAUUUGAAUGUAAAUGUUAUUAUCUUUUAAUAUUGAUUUUGGCUCUAAAUUAUGUA
rnacentral:rRNA from 1 species